AAAAAUCAAGGAAAUUUUUACAAUUGAAGCGAUUAAUUCACAUGAGUAAGCUUUCCAAGCAGAAUACUUUUGCUGUCUAUAGUUUGGACAGUAGUAGAUUUACAAACGCGCUUUUGAUGCUGUUGCUGACAAAGAAAGGCAGUAACUACUUCAUUGUGAACACCCAGGGCACGAUACACCCAUGGGGUUUGCCUAAAAUGUGAAUUCCGCCCAAUAUUGUAAACAAGGUGCUAAAAGUAAACACGUCCGGUUUUGUUACGAGCGCUUUGCACUCCAAGCCCAAAGCACAUAGAAUCAACGCCAGAAAAGGCUUAGAAAAUGACAGCAGUUUCGUUGUGUGAUCCAGUAAGGACUCUGAACGACAUUAAUGAGACCUCAAACUUGACCAUAGCACUCACAGCGAGGCCAUCAUGUUAUCUCAGCUUCUUGAGCUUCAGCAAACAUUAUUAGCCAACAAGAUGAAAACAUCAUUGAAGUGAAAGUCAAAAACAAUCCUGACUACCUUCGGGCACAAAUACUACAACUUGCUGAAGAAAUUCAGCACGAAUAUGUCUUGCGUCAGCCUAGCACGCCUCCUAUUAACUCUUCCAACAGCGGAGCCUUGAGCUAGUUCCUAGCAAUCAUAGAUCGGUACCCGGCUGAAAAACAGGAUCUCUGGUCAGCUGGGCCCAGAUGCCCAGCAACACUUCCUAGCCCAGGACCUUGGGGCAAAUGCUCAACAUGUCCUAUCUGCAUGGUGAAGCUAGUCUAAACCUUGGGCUCCAAACUUUCCUGCUGUGGAGCUGAGAUUACCUCAUCCAUAAGAGGGCUUAUACUCACAAGUUCAGGCCCAGAGAACGGUGUUCCCCAACUACAACACAACCAGUACGUCUCAAUAGAGGACACCCUUCCUGAAAACCUCGCUGGGUGCGACUGCGCCAUAUGUGACCCUUCAGUGAAAUGAGAUUCCAGGCGGAAUGUCAAACCGGUACUACUCCGGUCUCCAGCAAUAGCCUCAGCCUUGGACGCAGCUUAUCGUGUUAAGUGUUUGGCAGUACCAAGCCUAGUCGACGAAGCAGCAAAAACAACAGUAGCAGUCUAGUCAAGGGUCACCCCACAACGUUGAGUGCCUAGCGAUGAAAUCAUCCACCGUUACAUGUAGUUGAAAACCUGGGUAGCAGAGCAAUGAGUAUGUCCCAGGAGCAUUUGCAGUCAUCGUCUCCAGAUUAUGAGAUUCCCAUGCUCCACAACCCUCAGUCUAUGAACAUCAUGCAGAGCGAACCUUGGACGUCCCUUGACGAAAUCAAACCGGCAAAUCAGAAGGACAGCCUGUUGCUACCGUUGUUAUCAUAUUAACCCCAUACCGAAGAAGCUCAGAGAUAUAAAUGCUGUUUAAUAUGUGCUAGUCUCAACAAACCCCGUGUCUGGUGUGAACAUGUACAAUUGGAGGUCUCUACAUACCCCAUGUCUGGUGUGAACAUGUACAAUUGGAGGUCUCUACAUACUCCGUGUCUGGUGUGAACAUGUACAAUUGAAGGUCUCUGCAUACCCCAUGUCAGGUGUGAACAUGUACAAUUGAAGGUCUCUACAUACUCCAUGUCUGGUGUGAACAUGUACAAUUGAAGGUCUCUACAUACCCCAUGUCUGGUGUGAACAUGUACAAUUGAAGGUCUCUGCAUACCCCAUGUCUGGUGUGAACAUGUACAAUUGAAGGUCUCUACAUUCUCCAUGUCUGGUGUGAACAUGUACAAUUGAAGGUCUCUACAUACCCCAUGUCUGGUGUGAACAUGUACAAUUGAAGGUCUCUACAUACCCCAUGUCUGGUGUGGUACAAAUGAAGGUCUCUAUAUACCCCAUGUCUGAUGUGAACAUGUACAAUUGAAGGUCUCUACAUACCCCAUGUCUGGUGUGAACAUUUACAAUUGAAGGUCUCUACAUACCCCAUGUCUGGUGUGAACAUGUACAAUUGAAGGUCUCUACAUACUCCAUGUCUGGUGUGAACAUGUACAAUUGAAGGUCUCUACAUACCCCAUGUCUGGUGUGAACAUGUACAACUGAAGAUCUCUACAUACCCCAUGUCUGGUGUGAACAUGUACACUUGAAUGUCUCUAUAUACCCCAUGUCUGGUGUAAACAUGUACAAUUGAAGGUCUCUACAUACCACAUGUCUAGUGUGAACAUGUACAAUUAAAGGUCUGUACAUACCCCAUGUCUGGUGUGAACAUGUACAAUUGAAGGUCUCUACGUACCCCAUGUCCGGUGUGAACAUGUACAAUUGAAGGUCUCUACAUACCCCGUGUCCGGUGUGAACAUGUACAAUUGAAGGUCUCUACAUACUCCGUGUCUGGUGUGAACAUGUACAAUUGAAGGUCUCCACAUACUCCAUGUCGGGUGUGAACAUGUACAAUUGAAGGUCUCUACAUACUCCGUGUCUGGUGUGAACAUGUACAAUUGAAGGUCUCUACAUACCUCAUGUCUGGUGUGAACAUGUACAAUUGAAGGUCUCUACAUACCCGAUGUCUGAUGUGAACAUGUACAAUUGAAGGUCUCUACAUACCCCAUGUCUGAUGUGAACAUGUACAAUUGAAGGUCUCUACAUACUCCAUGUCUGGUGUGAACAUGUACAAUUGAAGAUCUCUACAUACCCCAUGUCUGAUGUGAACAUGUACAAUUGAAGGUCUCUACAUACCCCAUGUCUGGUGUGAACAUGUACAAUUGAAGGUCUCUGCAUACUCCAUGUCUGAUGUGAACAUGUACAAUUGAAGGUCUCUACAUACCCCAUGUCUGGUGUGAACAUGUACAAUUGAAGGUCUCUACAUACUCCAUGUCUGAUGUGAACAUGUACAAUUGAAGGUCUCUACAUACUCCAUGUCUGGUGUGAACAUGUACAAUUGAAGGUCUCUACAUACUCCAUGUCUGGUGUGAACAUGUACAAUUGAAGGUCUCUACAUACCCCAUGUCUAGUGUGAACAUGUACAAUUGAAGGUCUCCACAUACUCCAUGUCUGGUGUGAACAUGUACAAUUGAAGGUCUCUACAUACCCCAUGUCUGGUGUGAACAUGUACAAUUGAAGGUCUCUACAUACCCCAUGUCUGAUGUGAACAUGUACAAUUGAAGGUCUCUACAUACCCCAUGUCAGGUGUGAACAUGUACAAUUGAAGGUCUCUACAUACCACAUGUCUGGUGUGAACAUGUACAAUUGAAGGUCUCUACAUACUCCAUGUCUGGUGUGAACAUGUACAAUUGAAGAUCUCUACAUACUCCAUGUCUGGUGUGAACAUGUACAAUUGAAGGUCUCUACAUACCCCAUGUCUGGUGUGAACAUGUACAAUUGAAGGUCUCUACAUACUCCAUGUCUGAUGUGAACAUGUACAAUUGAAGGUCUCUACAUACUCCGUGUCUGGUGUGAACAUGUACAAUUGAAGGUCUCUACAUACCCCAUGUCUGGUGUGAACAUGUACAAUUGAAGGUCUCUACAUACCCCAUGUCAGGUGUGAACAUGUACAAUUGAAGGUCUCUAUAUACCCCAUGUCUGGUGUGAACAUGUACAAUUGAAGGUCUCUACAUACCCCAUGUCAGGUGUGAACAUGUACAAUUGAAGUUCUCUACAUACUCCAUGUCUGGUGUGAACAUAUACAAUUAAAGGUCUCUACAUACCCCAUGUCUGGUGUGAACAUGUACAAUUGAAGGUCUCUGCAUACUCCAUGUCUGGUGUGAACAUAUACAAUUAAAGGUCUGUACAUACCCCAUGUCUGGUGUGAACAUGUACAAUUGAAGGUCUCUACGUACCCCAUGUCCGGUGUGAACAUGUACAAUUGAAGGUCUCUACAUACCCCGUGUCCGGUGUGAACAUGUACAAUUGAAGGUCUCAUCUUUGAAAUUGGGACAGGUGGAAAAUUGAUGCAUUGAUGCAGACAGAAGUCGCAUAAUGACAAAUCACAACAAAAAGUGGAAAUCCAGACAGUCUUGUAGCCAGCCAUGUUUUUAUGUGACCAUCCAAGUUUUGUUAAAAGAAAACAAUAGUUCAUGUUUUAUUGGAACUAUGAUGCUGAUAGUCAUUUUAUGUAAAAGGCUUUUAUGAACUAUAUUUAAAUACUCAGUAUAAUAAGAUUAAGAUUUCUUGAUAAAAGCAAUAAUGAGCAAUAUCAUUUUAAGAGCAAAAUUAGCAAGUCUAUCCAAUUACAUUGUCUGUAUUAUGAAAUUUUAUUUUGGAAAUGUUAAGGAAAAUAUAUAUAUAUGUCUAUGAAUAUUGAUUUUAACAUUUGUCAAAGCUGUUUAAAUGAUGCUGGUAACUUUGACAAAAUUGAAAGAAAAUGUAUUCUUUUCAUGUAAUGAGACAUGCUUCAGUUUUUUUUUUUUGGCUUAACAUGUAAUAUAGAGGUGGUAGUUACACACAUUGUUUAGACAGGUGGAUAAUUUUAAUGCUAAGGCUUUGAUACUCUUAAGUGUGCCCAUUGGUGUCAGGUGUUUUUGUCAAGAAUAUUGUUUAUUAUCUUAGUAUUUCAAGACAAUAUUGAUUGAUUUUAGACAAAAUCAUUUAAUCUUCCUUAAAUUGUCUAUUCUGUAUUUACUACCAGUUAUUUAUUAAUUUGCUUGAACAUGAUUUAAGAAUGACUUUUUUGUUGCUUAAAAUGCUUUAUAUGUUUUAAAACUGAGCAUUUAAAAACGAAAAUAUAGGAUGUGGGAAUAAUGUCUAAAGUUAUGAUAAUUAUUUUUUGUUUUUGUAAAAUUAAUUAUGCCUUAUAUGUUGUGUAUAGGCAUUUAGACGACCAGAUUAACCUGACCAAGAAUUCGUGAUCAAUGUGUAUAUCGGUCAGUACAUUUGUCAUUUGUAUAUAGAGCGAUUGCGAAAUGAUUGUAUUGUUAAUGAAAAUCAUGCGUUUAUUGUUGCCAUUUUGAUUUUCGCUGUUAACAUGUAUUUGUACAAACAAUUUUCAUCCUGUACAUCUUUUAGAUGCCAGAUAAUAAAAACAAACAUUGCUUGUGGAGAUGCUCAUUUAAAACUUUCUUAAUGAUACAGAACAACACAUUCUGAAGAGGCAAAUAUCCUUUAGACAAUAGGAACAUCUUGUUACUAGUAUAUGUAAUGCUUUUCAUUUAACAAAGUCAAGCAACUAUUGAAAGAUUGAUUUAACUUUGUUUUGCAUUAUCUUGAGAAAAAUUAAUAUAUUCUACUUGGAAAUCAGUCAAUUGCAAAUCAAGUGAGAGUGAUUUAACAUGCUAACACUUGUCAAUAAUUGAAUUGUCUCUCUUUGUACAUAAAUAUAGGGAUGUUGUUGCUUGAAAAACAAAGUUGUAUCCGUUGUUAGAUAAUGCUUUUGUUCAUCUCUCAACAUAACAAGUACAUUCAUUUGUUCAUCUCUCAACAUAACAAGUACAUUCAUACAGUUAUUAAAAAUAUGACACUCUUAAUUCUCAGCCAUCAGUUUGUAUUGGGAUGUUGUGGAAUACUUACUAAACUAAUAUACGUCUGUUUAAUGAAUGAAUAGCUUUGGUACAAUACGAUACUCAGUGUUACAAAACAUGUGUAAUAAAAAUAUAAUGUCAUUUAUUUGAAAUCAUAAAAUUUAGUUGUCCAUACAAUGCUUACAGUUUUGCAAUUGCGAUGAUAAAGGAAAUGUUCUGCUCAAAAUGUCUUUUUAAGACAUGUGAAAAUUGUAGCAAUCAUAUUGUACUUGUAUUUAUAUUAUACAUUAUAAGAAUUUACUUACAGCUGAUGAUAGCGGCAGUUUACUAUAUGUGUUACAGUUUGUUCCACUCGACCAUCUGACCAUAUUUCCUUAAAAAUGUGAUUGUUAAUAUUGAACUGUAAUUGAAUGCAUGAAACAUGAUUGUUCUGUUGCUUAACAGCUGAAAAUAGCUUGAUGUUUGUAAAACUGUAUGAAAUGUUUCAAAUAAAUAAUUUUGAUAACAUAAAAAAAUAAAAUUACAUUUUGCGUUACUUUGAAUGCAUAACAAACAAUUGUUACCAUACAAUCAUAUUAGUAUUGAACUUAAUUAAUACUUUUACUUUAAGAUGCAAUUUUUACAAUAAUGUGUUAAUAUUUUCAUCCAUUCCAAAUAAGCAUUGUGCAUUCGUAAAUAUAGGGUGUAUAUACACUGCUUAGAUGCCUUUUUUAAAUUGCUUGUGUACGUCAUAUUGAUUAAAGACUCUUAUGUAUUGCAUAUUUGUGUGUGCCAAUGUCUUACUUAUUUCUUCACAGUCCUUAAAUUACUGCAAAUAGUACUUUAAGAAUGUUAAAAUAUUUAUCUUAACCCUUUCAGUGCGGGAACCUAAUUUUGAAGGCCUUUGCAAACAGUUUGGAUCCAGAUGAGACGCCACAGAACGUGGCGUCUCAUCAGGAUCCAAACUGUUUGCUAUUCUGAUAGUAUUCUUUGAAAAAAAUCGAAGAAAAUGCUAAUUUUAGAAAUUCAGCAGACGACAUUUGAGCAGACGACAAAUUUUCCAGCAUGCAAAGGGUUAACUAUAACCAGGUUAUCUGUUAAUUUAAGUUUCAUACAUAAUAUUCAGUGCUAAUAAAUCAGCACUAUUUAUUGAUUUUUUAUAUGGGCACUUCCCAUGACUUUAUUCGUGAAUAUUUCUUUGAAUGUGCGGUAGGGAAAACAUUGUUUGCUUGAAGGUUAGAAACUUAAUGUUGACAUCUUGAAAGAUGGCAGUAAACAUUUAACUGCAGAGUAGCUGGGAAAAAGAUUGCUGUUAAACAAUGUUAGACAGAACUCCACGCAAGAUAUGUCAUGCAUGCGAUAUGCAUGAACUAUCUUUUUAAAAUAAUUUGGAUCUGAAUUAUCUUUAAGAAAUGGUAUGGUUAUGAGGGUCUCUAUGUGCAAAAUGUUGCAUUUAUUUAGUGUACAAGUUAUUGCUUAAACAUUGAAUUUGUUGUGGAAAUAAUAUAGUUUAUGUGACUUAAAGAGAUAUACAUGUUUAUGUUAGUGAUAUGUUUUUGCUGAUCCAAGUCUGUUCCUACACACUAUUUAAAGUAGAUAACUACAAGUUAUCUCAUUUAAAUGGGAAAAGUAUUGUACUGUGAAAAAGUGUUGUGAGUUCAAAUAAAAAUACUAUGAAC